AGACUACUCCUUUCGUCCAACAAAAGAUGUUCCAACAAAAGAUGUCUCAAAUUGUCAAAAUUUGUAUAUAUCUAGACAUGACUUAGUGUAUAGAUGCAUUCAAAUUUAGUCAAAGUUGAGACAUCUUUUGUUGGACGGAGGGAGUAUCAA
rnacentral:pre_miRNA from 1 species